CCUCUCGGCCAUCUCUCCGUCC
rnacentral:tRNA from 1 species